AACUUUUCGGAUCUAUGCAGAGAUUUUGUUAGACACCAACCCACUAUGGCUGAUUAGACUCCCAAGAUAAGUGAAGUU
rfam:Schistosoma haematobium scaffold451_4, whole genome shotgun sequence.